ACACAUGCAAGUCGAACGGAGAAUUUAUUUCGGUAAAUUCUUAGUGGCGAACGGGUGAGUAACGCGUGGGCAACCUGCCCUUCAGAUGGGGACAACAUCCCGAAAGGGGUGCUAAUACCGAAUACGAUCACGCUGCCGCAUGGCGGUGUGAUGAAAGAUGGCCUCUAUUUAUAAGCUAUCGCUGAAGGAUGGGCCUGCGUCUGAUUAGCUAGUUGGUGGGGUAACGGCCUACCAAGGCGAUGAUCAGUAGCCGGUCUGAGAGGAUGAACGGCCACAUUGGGACUGAGACACGGCCAAACUCCUACGGGAGGCAGCAGUGGGGAAUAUUCCGCAAUGGACGAAAGUCUGACGGAGCAACGCCGCGUGAGUGAUGAAGGUUUUCGGACUGUAAAGCUCUGUUGUUUAGGACGAAAGUGCCUGCUGCAAACAGUUGCAGGUAUUGACGGUACUGAACGAGGAAGCCACGGCUAACUACGUGCCAGCAGCCGCGGUAAUACGUAGGUGGCAGCGUUGCCCGAAUUAUUGGGCGUAAAGAGCAUGUAGUGGGGCUUUUAAGUCUGUUGUGAAAAUGCGGGGCUCAACCCCCGUAUUGCGAUGGAAACUGACAGUCUUGAGUGCAGGAGAGGAAAGGGGAAUUCCCAGUGUAGCGGUGAAAUGCGUAGAUAUUGGGAGGAACACCAGUGGCGAAGGCGCCUUUCUGGACUGUGUCUGACACUGAGAUGCGAAAGCUAGGGGAGCGAACGGGAUUAGAUACCCCGGUAGUCCUAGCCGUAAACGAUGGGUACUAGGUGUAGGGGGUAUCGACCCCCCCUGUGCCGGAGUUAACGCAAUAAGUACCCCGCCUGGGGAGUACGGCCGCAAGGUUGAAACUCAAAGGAAUUGACGGGGGCCCGCACAAGCGGUGGAGUAUGUGGUUUAAUUCGACGCAACGCGAAGAACCUUACCAAGGCUUGACAUUGAGUGAAAUGUUAAGAGAUUAGCACCC
rnacentral:rRNA from 1 species